GAUGAACGCUGGCGGCGUGCCUAAUACAUGCAAGUCGAGCGAACGGACGAGAAGCUUGCUUCUCUGAUGUUAGCGGCGGACGGGUGAGUAACACGUGGAUAACCUACCUAUAAGACUGGGAUAACUUCGGGAAACCGGAGCUAAUACCGGAUAAUAUUUUGAACCGCAUGGUUCAAAAGUGAAAGACGGUCUUGCUGUUACUUAUAGAUGGAUCCGCGCUGCAUUAGCUAGUUGGUAAGGUAACGGCUUACCAAGGCAACGAUGCAUAGCCGACCUGAGAGGGUGAUCGGCCACACUGGAACUGAGACACGGUCCAGACUCCUACGGGAGGCAGCAGUAGGGAAUCUUCCGCAAUGGGCGAAAGCCUGACGGAGCAACGCCGCGUGAGUGAUGAAGGUCUUCGGAUCGUAAAACUCUGUUAUUAGGGAAGAACAUAUGUGUAAGCAACUGUGCACAUCUUGACGGUACCUAAUCAGAAAGCCACGGCUAACUACGUG
rnacentral:rRNA from 1 species